rnacentral:rRNA from 1 species
GAUGAACGCUGGCGGCGUGCCUAAUACAUGCAAGUCGAGCGAACAGACGAGGAGCUUGCUCCUCUGACGUUAGCGGCGGACGGGUGAGUAACACGUGGAUAACCUACCUAUAAGACUGGGAUAACUUCGGGAAACCGGAGCUAAUACCGGAUAAUAUAUUGAACCGCAUGGUUCAAUAGUGAAAGACGGUUUUGCUGUCACUUAUAGAUGGAUCCGCGCCGCAUUAGCUAGUUGGUAAGGUAACGGCUUACCAAGGCAACGAUGCGUAGCCGACCGGAGAGGGUGAUCGGCCACACUGGAACUGAGACACGGUCCAGACUCCUACGGGAGGCAGCAGUAGGGAAUCUUACGCAAUGGGCGAAAGCAUGACGGAGCAACGCGGCGUGAGUGAUGAAGGUCUUCGGAUCGUAAAACUCUGUUAUUAGGGAAGAACAAAUGUGUAAGUAACUAUGCACGUCUUGACGGUACCUAAUCAGAAAGCAACGGCUAACUACGUG